rnacentral:misc_RNA from 1 species
UCCUUCUAAUAAUCAAACUUUUAUAUAUCUAUCUAUGUAAAGAUGUUUGGACUUUAAUUGAGAAAAGUAGUAUAGUUAUAAUAUUACUUUCUUAAAAACCAGAAAUAUUUUGUUUUGGUUUUCUUCCAACUCAUUUUGUAUUUAAUAAAACAAAUGAGUAUGAAUUCAACAAGCAAACAAUAAAAUACUUUUU